rnacentral:rRNA from 1 species
CAUGCAGUCGUACGAGAGUUUUUAACUCAAGUGGCGGACGGGUGAGUAACAGAAGAAUUUACCUUUAGGAGGGGGACAACAACGGGAAACUGUUGCUAAUACCCCAUAUGCUUUCGAGUGAAAUGGAUUUAUCCGCCUAGAGAGAGGCUUGCGGCUGAUUAGCUUGUUGGUGAGGUAAUGGCUCACCAAGGCGACGAUCAGUAUCUGGUUUGAGAGGACGAUCAGACACACUGGAACUGAGACACGGUCCAGACUCCUACGGGAGGCAGCAGUGGGGAAUUUUCCGCAAUGGGCGAAAGCCUGACGGAGCAAUACCGCGUGAGGGAUGACGGCCUAUGGGUUGUAAACCUCUUUUUUCAGGGAGGAAUCAAUGACGUGUACCUGAAGAAUAAGCAUCGGCUAACUCCGUGCCAGCAGCCGCGGUAAGACGGAGGAUGCAAGUGUUAUCCGGAAUCACUGGGCGUAAAGCGUCUGUAGGUGGUCAAAUAAGUCAACUGUUAAAUCUUGAGGCUCAACCUCAAAACCGCAGUCGAAACUAUUAGACUAGAGUAUAGUAGGGGUAAAGGGAAUUUCCAGUGGAGCGGUGAAAUGCGUAGAGAUUGGAAGGAACACCGAUGGCGAAGGCACUUUACUGGGCUAUUACUAACACUCAGAGACGAAAGCUAGGGUAGCAAAUGGGAUUAGAUACCCCAGUAGUCCUAGCUGUAAACAAUGGAUACUAGAUGUUGAACAGAUCGACCUGUGCAGUAUCAAAGCUAACGCGUUAAGUAUCCCCGCCUG